UCCGAAGGGGGCAAGCGUUGUUCGGAAUUAUUGGGCGUAAAGAGCUCGUAGGCGGUCUGUCGCGUCGGAUGUGAAAACCCAGGGCUCAACCCUGGGCCUGCAUUCGAUACGGGCAGACUAGAGUAUGGCAGGGGAGACUGGAAUUCCUGGUGUAGCGGUGAAAUGCGCAGAUAUCAGGAGGAACACCGGUGGCGAAGGCGGGUCUCUGGGCCAAAACUGACGCUGAGGAGCGAAAGCGUGGGGAGCGAACAGG
rnacentral:rRNA from 1 species